UACGUAGGGGGCAAGCGUUGUCCGGAUUUAUUGGGCGUAAAGGGCGCGUAGGCGGCCCGCUAAGUCGAACGUGAAAUCCCCGAGCUCAACUCGGGAACUGCGUCCGAUACUGGUGGGCUUGAAUCCGGGAGAGGGAUGCGGAAUUCCAGGUGUAGCGGUGAAAUGCGUAGAUAUCUGGAGGAACACCGGUGGCGAAGGCGGCAUCCUGGACCGGCAUUGACGCUGAGGCGCGAAAGCUAGGGGAGCAAACGGGG
rnacentral:rRNA from 1 species